rnacentral:rRNA from 1 species
UAAGCAUUAUACCGUGAAACUGCGAAUGGCUCAUUAAAUCAGUUAUCGUUUAUUUGAUAAUACCUUACUACUUGGAUAACCGUGGUAAUUCUAGAGCUAAUACAUGCUGAAAAUCCCGACUUCGGAAGGGAUGUGUUUAUUAGAUAAAAAACCAAUGCCCUUCGGGGCUUUUUGGUGAUUCAUGAUAACUUUACGGAUCGCAUAGCCUUGCGCUGGCGACGGUUCAUUCAAAUUUCUGCCCUAUCAACUUUCGAUGGUAAGGUAUUGGCUUACCAUGGUUUCAACGGGUAACGGGGAAUUAGGGUUCGAUUCCGGAGAGGGAGCCUGAGAAACGGCUACCACAUCCAAGGAAGGCAGCAGGCGCGCAAAUUACCCAAUCCCGACACGGGGAGGUAGUGACAAUAAAUACUGAUACAGGGCUCUUUUGGGUCUUGUAAUUGGAAUGAGUACAAUUUAAACCUCUUAACGAGGAACAAUUGGAGGGCAAGUCUGGUGCCAGCAGCCGCGGUAAUUCCAGCUCCAAUAGCGUAUAUUAAAGUUGUUGCAGUUAAAAAGCUCGUAGUUGAAACUUGGGCCUGGCUGGCGGGUCCGCCUCACCGCGUGCACUCGUCCGGCCGGGCCUUCCUUCUGAAGAACCUCAUGCCCUUCACUGGGCGUGCUGGGGAAUCAGGACUUUUACUUUGAAAAAAUUAGAGUGUUCAAAGCAGGCCUUUGCUCGAAUACGUUAGCAUGGAAUAAUAAAAUAGGGCGUGCGUUUCUAUUUUGUUGGUUUCUAGAGACGCCGCAAUGAUUAACAGGAACAGUCGGGGGCAUCAGUAUUCAGUUGUCAGAGGUGAAAUUCUUGGAUUUACUGAAGACUAACUACUGCGAAAGCAUUUGCCAAGGAUGUUUUCAUUAAUCAGUGAACGAAAGUUAGGGGAUCGAAGACGAUCAGAUACCGUCGUAGUCUUAACCGUAAACUAUGCCGACUAGGGAUCGGGCGAUGUUCUUUUUCUGACUCGCUCGGCACCUUACGAGAAAUCAAAGUUUUUGGGUUCUGGGGGGAUUAUGGUCGCAAGGCUGAAACUUAAAGAAAUUGACGGAAGGUCACCACCAGGCGUGGAGCCUGCGGCUUAAUUUGACUCAACACGGGGAAACUCACCAGGUCCAGAUGAAAUAAGGAUUGACAGAUUGAGAGCUCUUUCUUGAUUUUUCAGGUGGUGGUGCAUGGCCGUUCUUAGUUCGUGGGGUGACUUGUCUGCUUAAUUGCGAUAACGAGCGAGACCUUACUCUGCUAAAUAGCCAGGCUAACUUUGGUUGGUCGCCGGCUCUUAGAGAGACUAUCAAC